rnacentral:lncRNA from 1 species
GCCAACAGGGACCUCACUGGGUUUUUAUGAAAAAUGCUUGUGGCACUGGGUCCAUCCUGGUCAUGAUUCCUGGAUGCCACACCUUCCUGGUAAGGUGUCGUGGAAGAUGCUUCAGAAGAUCAAGGUGGAAGAGUUUGUCUCGGGAAAUGCCUUCCAGAAUAAGGAAAACACAACGUCUGUGCCCACAAGGAUGAUUUGGCUCCCCCCGAGGAUGAAAGGCUCCAGCUGCUCUGCAGUUAUAAUCAAACUGGCUCCCCCCCCAGCCUCCUCCGGCUCAUCCAUCACACAGUAAUAACAGAGUUGCUGGCUGCUGAUCUCCAA